UUCUUUCAAGAUUCUGAGGAUAGUAAUCAAAUUAUUGAUCUUCAUUUUCUCUAUCAGAUUCUUCAAAUACUUCUGGAGAGAAAACUUUGGUAUUAGUUUCUUCUGGAUAGAAUUCAUCUUCUUCUAUUUUUUCAAGAUAGAUGGAUUCUAUAUCAUUUUGUAGUUCAUCUUGAUCCUAGUCCUCAAUAUCGAAGGCUUCA
rnacentral:lncRNA from 1 species